CGCGCGAUACAGGGUGACAGCCCCGUACACAAAAGCGCAUGUGUUGUGAGCUCGAUGAGUAGGGCGGGACACGUGGUAUCCUGUCUGAAUAUGGGGGGACCAUCCUCCAAGGCUAAAUACUCCUGACUGACCGAUAGUGAACCAGUACCGUGAGGGAAAGGCGAAAAGAACCCCGGCGAGGGGAGUGAAAAAGAACCUGAAACCGUGUACGUACAAGCAGUGGGAGCACCCUUCGGGGUGUGACUGCGUACCUUUUGUAUAAUGGGUCAGCGACUUAUAUUCUGUAGCAAGGUUAACCGAAUAGGGGAGCCGGAGGGAAACCGAGUCUUAAUUGGGCGUUAAGUUGCAGGGUAUAGACCCGAAACCCGGUGAUCUAGCCAUGGGCAGGUUGAAGGUUGGGUAACACUAACUGGAGGACCGAACCGACUAAUGUUGAAAAAUUAGCGGAUGACCUGUGGCUGGGGGUGAAAGGCCAAUCAAACCGGGAGAUAGCUGGUUCUCCCCGAAAGCUAUUUAGGUAGCGCCUCGUGAAUUCAUCUCCGGGGGUAGAGCACUGUUUCGGCUAGGGGGCCAUCCCGGCUUACCAACCCGAUGCAAACUGCGAAUACCGGAGAAUGUUAUCACGGGAGACACACGGCGGGUGCUAACGUCCGUCGUGAAGAGGGAAACAACCCAGACCGCCAGCUAAGGUCCCAAAGUCAUGGUUAAGUGGGAAACGAUGUGGGAAGGCCCAGACAGCCAGGAUGUUGGCUUAGAAGCAGCCAUCAUUUAAAGAAAGCGUAAUAGCUCACUGGUCGAGUCGGCCUGCGCGGAAGAUGUAACGGGGCUAAACCAUGCACCGAAGCUGCGGCAGCGACACUGUGUGUUGUUGGGUAGGGGAGCGUUCUGUAAGCCUGUGAAGGUGUGUCGUGAGGCAUGCUGGAGGUAUCAGAAGUGCGAAUGCUGACAUAAGUAACGAUAAAGCGGGUGAAAAGCCCGCUCGCCGGAAGACCAAGGGUUCCUGUCCAACGUUAAUCGGGGCAGGGUGAGUCGACCCCUAAGGCGAGGCCGAAAGGCGUAGUCGAUGGGAAACGGGUUAAUAUUCCCGUACUUGGUGUUACUGCGAAGGGGGGACGGAGAAGGCUAUGUUGGCCGGGCGACGGUUGUCCCGGUUUAAGCGUGUAGGUGUGUGUUCCAGGUAAAUCCGGUUCACUUUAACACUGAGGCGUGACGACGAGGCACUACGGUGCUGAAGCAACAAAUGCCCUGCUUCCAGGAAAAGCCUCUAAGCAUCAGGUAACAUCAAAUCGUACCCCAAACCGACACAGGUGGUCAGGUAGAGAAUACCAAGGCGCUUGAGAGAACUCGGGUGAAGGAACUAGGCAAAAUGGUGCCGUAACUUCGGGAGAAGGCACGCUGACACGUAGGUGAAGUGAUUUACUCAUGGAGCUGAAGUCAGUCGAAGAUACCAGCUGGCUGCAACUGUUUAUUAAAAACACAGCACUGUGCAAACACGAAAGUGGACGUAUACGGUGUGACGCCUGCCCGGUGCCGGAAGGUUAAUUGAUGGGGUCAGCGCAAGCGAAGCUCCUGAUCGAAGCCCCGGUAAACGGCGGCCGUAACUAUAACGGUCCUAAGGUAGCGAAAUUCCUUGUCGGGUAAGUUCCGACCUGCACGAAUGGCGUAAUGAUGGCCAGGCUGUCUCCACCCGAGACUCAGUGAAAUUGAACUCGCUGUGAAGAUGCAGUGUACCCGCGGCAAGACGGAAAGACCCCGUGAACCUUUACUAUAGCUUGACACUGAACAUUGAGCCUUGAUGUGUAGGAUAGGUGGGAGGCUUUGAAGCGUGGACGCCAGUCUGCGUGGAGCCG
rnacentral:rRNA from 2 species